rnacentral:rRNA from 1 species
AACGGACGCUGGCGGCAGGCCUAACACAUGCAAGUCGAGCGCGCCCUUCGGGGUGAGCGGCGGACGGGGGAGUAGCGCGUGGGAACGUGCACUUUUCUAUGGAAUAGCCUUGGGAAACUGAGAGUAAUAGCGAAUAGGCCCUUAGGGGGAAAGAUUUAUUGGAACAGGAUGGGCCCUCGUUGGAUUAGGUAGUUGGUGGGGUAAUGGCCUACCAAGCCGCCGAUCCAUAGCUGGUUAGAGAGAAUGAUCAGCCACUCUUAGACUGAGACACGGCCCAGACUCCUCCGGGAUGCAGCAAUGGGUAAUCUUAGACCAUGGGGUCAAUCCUGAUCGACCCAGGCCGCGUGAGUGAUGAUGGCCUUAGGGUUGUAAAGCGCUUUCAACUGGGAAGAUAAUGACGGUACCAACAGAAGAAGCCCCGGCUAACUCCGUG